UGAGGAACAUGACUUUCGGCGGGGGAGUAGCCGGCCCAACGGCCGGGUAAUACCGCGUACGACCUCUCGGGGACAUCCCCGGUUGGUGAAAGCAGCAAUGCACCGAAAGAGUGCCUCGCGGCCUAUCAGCUAGUUGGUGGAGUAACGGCUCACCAAGGCGACGACGGGUAGCUGGUCUGAGAGGAUGGCCAGCCACAUUGGGACUGAGACACGGCCCAGACCUCCGUACGGGAGGCAGC
rnacentral:rRNA from 1 species